AACGAACGCUGGCGGCAGGCCUAACACAUGCAAGUCGAACGAUACAGUGGCAGACGGGUGAGUAACGCGUGGGAACGUACCUUUCACUACGGAAUAGCUCUGGGAAACUGGUGGUAAUACCGUAUACGCCCUCCGGGGGAAAGAUUUAUCGGUGAAAGAUCGGCCCGCGUUGGAUUAGCUAGUUGGUGAGGUAAUGGCUCACCAAGGCGACGAUCCAUAGCUGGUCUGAGAGGAUGAUCAGCCACAUUGGGACUGAGACACGGCCCAAACUCCUACGGGAGGCAGCAGUGGGGAAUCUUGCACAAUGGGCGAAAGCCUGAUGCAGCCAUGCCGCGUGAAUGAUGAAGGCCUUAGGGUUGUAAAAUUCUUUCGUCAGGGAUGAUAAUGACCGUAC
rnacentral:rRNA from 1 species